CUCCCGUCCCGCCCCGGCCGUGCCCCCUGCGCGGUGAUGGUUCCCCAGGAGCUCUGCGUCUCCGCCGAAAUGCUGAGAACCUCGAGAAUUCUAAAAGCACAGACCGUAAGGAAGAAGCCACUGGUUGUAACAACAUUUUCUGGGAAUGCUUCCUACUAGGGAAGUAGGAGACCUGUUCCGGGUCAACACCAUAAUGGCUGCACUGGUGCUACUGCUGUAAGGUGAACUCAAACUCUGCAUGCACCUGCCUAAACAACCAGGAAACAGCAAGGACUGGCCUGGAAAUGCUGCUGACUGUUACAGCUUUCAAGCAUUGAAUGCAGAGGUGGGGUGACACUUCUGUUCUGGAAAAAUUUCUGUCCUAGACUGAGAAUACCAAAGGAGCCUGAGCGUGACAAAUGUUGGCAACCCCUCCAGCUUUAUUUGCUGUGUGCAUAGUCACCAUUCUUAGUCUUUAAAGUGCAUGUCUCCUGGAAGUAACUAGUCCAUAUCCAUGAAAUGAUCUUAAUUUUUCCCAAACGUGUUCAUUUUUCCUAAAAACAAGACAACCCCAACCUUUCAGAUGAGUCUGCCUAGGAGAACUGAUGGGAAGAUCAAAAUUGCCCCAAAUAAGGAAAAUAACAUUAAAUUUCAGCAAACAACAGCAUACUUCAGUUAGGAAAAUGGAGGGGAAGAAAACCUUCCUUAAUGUUCUAUUUCACAACUCAACUGACUUGAAUUGCAGCUGGCCUUGUUUGUUGCUUAGAAGUCCUUGAAUCUCAGUGUG